UACGUAGGUGGCGAGCGUUGUCCGGAUUUACUGGGCGUAAAGAGCGCGCAGGCGGUCGUACAAGUCGCGUGUGAAAGCCCCUGGCUCAACUGGGGAGGGUCACGCGAUACUGUUCGACUCGAAGGCAGGAGAGGGAAGUGGAAUUCCCGGUGUAGUGGUGAAAUGCGUAGAUAUCGAGAGGAACACCUGCGGCGAAGGCGGGUUGCUGGGCUGACACUGACGCUGAGGCGCGAAAGCUAGGGGAGCGAACGGG
rnacentral:rRNA from 1 species